rnacentral:lncRNA from 1 species
UUUUUUUAUACCAACUUUUUUGAGAAUCACCUCAGUACCAAACCAGGUCUUACUUGUUCCCUCAAUUACGAUUAACGAACCUUUCUCUUUAUCAUCAUCUAAAGACAUAUCUGCAAAAAAAAAAAAAUCAUUCAAUUUGUGAUCUUUUAACCAUUCACAUGUAUAAAAUAAAUGGACGGUUCAUUAUGAGGAUGUUACUUGUUACCAAAACCGUUGAUUUACAUAAUCGUAAAUGGGGGGACACAAUCAUUAUCAUAUAAAAUAUAUGACCGCUUUUGUUAGAAGGUGAUCAACAAUAACAUAUGGUGAUGUGUGAUUAAUUUAAAAUAUAUAUUGUCAUUGACUCACUCUAGCCGUUCUAAUUUCACGUAAAUUCUUUUCUUAUUAGAGAAAUGAUACAUAAUGUAGAACAAGGCCAGGGCCGGCCCAGGCCCAGUGCAGGAGGGGCGACCGUCCAGGGCCCAAAAAAAUUAGGGGCACCAAAAUUAUUAGGGCGGUAUGUUUAUAUAUGUUUUUAUAAGAGUAUAAAUUUAUAAAAUUUGAUUCAAAGACAUAGAAAUUUAACUAGAAGUGGUGGUUUGUCAUUUGAAAAUAAUAAGGAGGUCUUGGGUUCAAAACACCAUGUGUGCUUAUUUACUUUCCUUUUUUUUACAAAUUUCUUUUUAUAAGAGUAUAAAUUUAGAAAAUUUGGUUAAAGGAUCAAGAAGUUUAAUUAGAAAUAAUGAUUUUUUGUUGUUAAAAUUAAAAAAGGUCCUAAGUUCGAAAUGCUAUGUGCAUGUUUAUUCUUUUCAAUUUUUACAAAUUUUUGUUUGGUUGGUAAUUUAUUUUUAGUUACUAUCUAGUAGCUAUGUGGGUUGUUAUUUUUUAAAUAUUCGUUUUAAUUCAAGUCUAAUCUUCAACAAAGAAUAAUACGUAGACCAAAUUUGCAAAUUAAUAUAUGACGUGUCAUCAAAAUGUUUUAAUUUAGUGCCCAUUCAUUAAUAAUACAUAUCAAUUAAAGACUCGAAAACAUCAUUAUUUUUUAGUCCCAUAUUGACAAGGUUAGUAAAUAAGAAAAAAACACCUCACGAUUUAUUCAAAAAUACAUUCAAAGUUCAAAUGGAAAACAAAACUCAUCAUCUAUCUACUUGUAAGCUCGAAGUUUUUUUGUUUCCCUCUCUCAAUACAAAAUAAAUUAGUCUUUCUGUAUUUCUAAAUUAUUGAGUUUGAAGUGUUUUUCUAAGUAUAAUUUUUUCGAUAUCUUAUGUGUAAAAAUAAAUAAUUUUCUUACAUAAAGUUAGGGCACUUCUUUUUACGUCGCCCCGGGCCUCAAAAAUCUCUGGACCGGCCCUGAACAAGGCACACCACUCCAUAUAUUAAUUUAACAAAAGUUUUGUUAAGAACGUUCUAUCGAUCAUAUAAUAAAAGCGUAAAUCAUACAGCAUGGAAUAAAAUUAUUUAAACUUGUACUGAUUGACCAGGCCCAGCUCAAUUGACAAAGCUAGGCUUAAUUUAUUGCACUGUUGGGGGCCUUAUGUUCCACGUCGCAAAUUGAUAUGUAAUGGUACAUUUUGCGAGAAUGUGAGACCAAAUUAUGCUAAGUGAUUAUAAAGAGUUGAGUUAUUUUGACAAUAUUGAUUUUACAAGAAACCUUAAUUUUUUUCAUGGUAUUAUAGCAAGUCCGCCCAUGUGUGAUGUCUAUUAGCUACACGUGCUUCACGUCAUCUAAUUUAUGUUUUCCACGUCUUAAGCUUGAAAACUCGCUACACGUGAGGGGGCGUGCGAGAAUGUGAGGACAAAGU